AUUGAACGCUGGCGGCAUGCUUUACACAUGCAAGUCGAACGGUAACAGGGAGCUUGCUCCGCUGACGAGUGGCGAACGGGUGAGUAAUAUAUCGGAACGUACCCAGAAGUGGGGGAUAACGUAGCGAAAGUUACGCUAAUACCGCAUACGAUCCACGGAUGAAAGUAGGGGACCUUCGGGCCUUAUGCUUUUGGAGCGGCCGAUAUCUGAUUAGCUAGUUGGUGAGGUAAAGGCUCACCAAGGCGACGAUCAGUAGCUGGUCUGAGAGGACGAACAGACACACUGGAACUGAGAAACGGUCCAGACUCCUACGGGAGGCAGCAGUGGGGAAUUUUGGACAAUGGGCGCAAGCCUGAUCCAGCAAUGCCGCGUGAGUGAAGAAGGCCUUCGGGUUGUAAAGCUCUUUUGUCAGGGAAGAAACGGGAGUGGCUAAUAUCCAUUCUUAAUGACGGUACCUGAAGAAUAAGCACCGGCUAACUACGUGCCAGCAGCCGCCGUAACAC
rnacentral:rRNA from 1 species